rnacentral:rRNA from 1 species
AACGAACGCUGGCGGCGGGCCUAACACAUGCAAGUCGAACGCCGUAGCAAUACGGAGUGGCAGACGGGUGAGUAACACGUGGGAACAUACCCUUCGGUUCGGAAUAACUCAGGGAAACUUGAGCUAAUACCGGAUACGUCCGCGAGGAGAAAGAUUCAUCGCCGGAGGAUUGGCCCGCGUCUGAUUAGCUUGUUGGUGAGGUAAC